UACAGGGGGGGGCAAGCGUUGUUCGGAAUUACUGGGCGUAAAGGGCGCGUAGGCGGCGCAACAAGUCACUUGUGAAAUCUCCGGGCUUAACCCGGAGCGGUCAAGUGAUACUGUCGUGCUAGAGUGCGGAAGGGGCUACUGGAAUUCUCGGUGUAGCGGUGAAAUGCGUAGAUAUCAGGAGGAAUACCCGUGGCGCAGGCGGCUUCCUGGGGCACACCUGACACUGAGAAGCGACAGCCUAGGGGAGCAAACGGG
rnacentral:rRNA from 1 species